UACCAAGCCUUUGAUGUUGGACUUCCCAGCCUCCAAAUUUUGAAUAAAGUCAUCAAAGAACCUAGGGAGGUUGAAACUACAAAAUGGAAGAAGCCUGGGAUCACACAGGAAUCCUUGGAGAAACACUGCCCGGGAGAGCUGCAUGACCAAGAACACUUGUAGUAGAUUUUAUUUGCUUUAUUAAAUUAUGCCUCUGGAA